CACGUAGGGGACGAGCGUUGUCCGGAUUUACUGGGCGUAAAGAGCGCGCAGGCGGUCGUUCAAGUCGCGUGUGAAAGCCCCCGGCUCAACUGGGGAGGGUCAUUCGAUACUGAUCGACUCGAAGGCAGGAGAGGGUAGUGGAAUUCCCGGUGUAGUGGUGAAAUGCGUAGAUAUCGGGAGGAACACCAGUGGCGAAGGCGACUACCUGGCCUGUUCUUGACGCUGAGGCGCGAAAGCUAGGGGAGCAAACGGG
rnacentral:rRNA from 1 species